AUUGAACGCUGGCGGCAGGCCUAACACAUGCAAGUCGAGCGACCGGCGGACGGGUGAGUACUGUCUGGGAAACUGCUUGUUGGAGGGGGAUAACUACAGGAAACGGUAGCUAAUAACGCAUACCAUCAGAUGUGCCCAGAUGGGAUUAGCUGGUAGUGGGGGUAACGGCCCACCCAGGCGACGAUCCCUAGCUGGUCUGAGAGGAUGACCAGUCACACUGGAACGGAGACACGGUCCAGACUCCUACGGGAGGCAGCAGUGGGGAAUAUUGGACAAUGGGCGCAAGCCUGAUGCAGCCAUGCCGCGUGUGUGAAGAAGGUCUUCGGAUUGUAAAGCACUUUAAGUGGGGAGGCGUUACCAGCAGAAGAAGCACCGGCUAACUCCGUGCCAGCAGCCGCGGUAAUAC
rnacentral:rRNA from 1 species